UUGUUUCAGGGAGAAGCUUUGGUUCACUAAAGAAUUCGCAGAAUUUCUUAAAGGCAGCUAAACCCAUGUUCCUUUACCUAAGUGAUAUUGUAGAUAGAGCACUGGUCCUAGAUUCUUGAAGACCUCAUGUUCUGUGUUAUGCCUCUGAUGGCUCUUGAUGACUUCGGACUACUUAGCCCUCCCCAACUUUAUUGGACAAGUCAGAGAUUGCAAUCUAUGAAUCCAAUUUUCCCUUGUCUUCCUCAGCCUAUAAGAGAUACUGAAACUGCAAGAGACACUUCAUACAAUGAGCUCAAAGAGAGAAUCAUAUAG
rnacentral:lncRNA from 1 species